rnacentral:rRNA from 1 species
UACGUAGGGGGCAAGCGUUGUCCGGAAUCACUGGGCGUAAAGCGCGCGCAGGCGGUCUUUCACGUCCGGGGUGAAAGCCCUGGGCUCAACCUGGGAAUUGCAGUGGAUACUGGCAAGCUAGAGUGCGGUAGAGGAUGGUGGAAUUCCCGGUGUAGCGGUGAAAUGCGUAGAGAUCGGGAGGAACACCCGUGGCGAAGGCGGCCAUCUGGACCAGCACUGACGCUGAGGCACGAAAGCGUGGGGAGCAAACAGGG